rnacentral:rRNA from 1 species
UACGUAAGGGGCGAGCGUUGUUCGGAAUUAUUGGGCGUAAAGGGCGUGCAGGCGGUCUUAUAAGUCUGAAGUUAAAGACCACAGCUUAACUGUGGAGAUGCUUUGGAUACUGUAAGACUAGAAUAGAGCAGGGAUAGUCGGAAUUUCUAGUGUAGGGGUGAAAUCUGUUGAUAUUAGAAAGAACACCGGAGGCGAAGGCGGACUAUUGGGUUCAUAUUGACGCUGAGGCGCGAAAGCGUAGGUAGCAAACAGG